UACGUAGGGGGCAAGCGUUGUCCGGAAUCAUUGGGCGUAAAGAGCGCGUAGGCGGCCCUGUAAGUCCGCUGUGAAAGUCAAGGGCUCAACCCUUGGAUGCCGGUGGAUACUGCAGGGCUAGAGUCCGGAAGAGGCGAGUGGAAUUCCUGGUGUAGCGGUGAAAUGCGCAGAUAUCAGGAAGAACACCCGUGGCGAAGGCGGCUCUCUGGGACGGUACUGACGCUGAGACGCGAAAGCGUGGGGAGCGAACAGG
rnacentral:rRNA from 1 species